GUGAGUGGGACUCUGUGCCUUUGAGGUCAUAAAAGCCAGGUUUUCAUCCAAGAAAAGGGAUGCUGAACUAGUCUCCCUGAGAAAUAAAGACAGGGAAAAUGAACUAAGAGUUUCUGGAGAUUUUGAUAGAGAGAGAGAGAGGAGGGAGAGACAGAGAGACACAGAGAGGGCACGCUAUGUUGGAAUCAAUAAGAUGAUACCUGCGAAGGGAUAUUCAGCUUCAUCUUGACUUGAGCCAACCCUUUUGGAGGGUCUACAAAAGAGCUACCUGGAAAUCUUGGUGGAAGCCUCCAUGAUCCCAUAACUGCAUGUCUGCAAACCAGCAUAACAUAGACACUGGUGGCAAGCUUGGGGGGGGGGUCUCAUUUCUGUUCAUUAUUUCAUACUUAAACACUGCAUUUUGACCAAAUAAAAUUCAUCUUGCUGAUCUAGAAUGUCAACACUUAUCCUUCUGGCUAUUAUAAUAACAUAUGAAGCCAUUACAUCAUUCUGAAAAUUUCUCCAGUGCUUCCUUCCUUUCGAUUGACCAACGCUGUUCUUGCUUGGGGAAAAAAAAAAAAAAACCAAAACAAAAAACAAACCUCUUUUUUUGAUUUCAGUCACCUUAUAGUAGCUUGAUUUUUGAUGUGGUGUGCACACGGGGUGGGGUGGGGUGGAGUUAGCACAAUGUUAACACUAUGCAGAUUUUUGUCUUUGUCCGUCUUGGAGACUGAUCUGUGUUUCUGUGUAAUGUGUGAAUUCUUUGUCUCCUUUUUGGUAUUUAAUUGCAUUCACACACCAUGGCUUGUUUAUCCGUAACCUGAUUGAUGGACACUUGUUUCUAGUUCUUGACAUGUAGGAGUAAAGGUGCAGCAAACAUUUAUCUGCCAGUCUUUAAGGAUAAAAAGAUUCUCAUUUUUUCCUUGGGUAAAACGUAGGAGCAAAAUUACA
rnacentral:lncRNA from 1 species